rnacentral:rRNA from 1 species
CCUACGGGAGGCAGCAGUGAGGAAUAUUGGUCAAUGGUCGGGAGACUGAACCAGCCAAGCCGCGUGAGGGAGGAAGGUACAGAGUAUCGUAAACCUCUUUUGUCAGGGAACAAAGACUGGGACGCGUCCCCGGAUGAGUGUACCUGAAGAAAAAGCAUCGGCUAACUCCGUGCCAGCAGCCGCGGUAAUACGGAGGAUGCGAGCGUUAUCCGGAUUUAUUGGGGUUAAAGGGUGCGCAGGCGGGCGUGUAAGUCCGGGGUCAAAGCCCGGGGCUCAACCCCGGGCCCGCGGUGGAAACUGGCAGGCUCGAGUUGGAGAGAGGUAGGCGGAAUGCGCGGUGUAGCGGUGAAAUGCAUAGAUAUCGCGCAGAACACCGAUUGCGAAGGUAGCAUGCCGGCUCCACACUGACGCUGAGGCACGAAAGCGUGGGUAGCGAACAGGAUUAGAUACCCGGGUAGUC